ACUCCUACGGGAGGCAGCAGUAGGGAAUCUUCCACAAUGGACGAAAGUCUGAUGGAGCAACGCCGCGUGAGUGAAGAAGGGUUUCGGCUCGUAAAACUCUGUUGUUAAAGAAGAACAUAUCUGAGAGUAACUGUCAGGUAUUGACGGUAUUAACCAGAAAGCCACGGCUAACUACGUGCCAGCAGCCGCGGUAAUACGUAGGUGGCAAGCGUUGUCCGGAUUUAUUGGGCGUAAAGCGAGCGCAGGCGGUUUUAAGUCUGAUGUGAAAGCCUUCGGCUCAACCGAAGAAGUGCAUCGGAAACUGGGAAACUUGAGUGCAGAAGAGGACAGUGGAACUCCAUGUGUAGCGGUGAAAUGCGUAGAUAUAUGGAAGAACACCAGUGGCGAAGGCGGCUGGUCUGGUCUGUAACUGACGCUGAGGCUCGAAAGUAUGGGUAGCAAACAGGAUUAGAUA
rnacentral:rRNA from 1 species